CAGUAGCCGCGGGAAUACGUAGGGUGCGAGCGUUGUCCGGAAUUACUGGGCGUAAAGAGCUCGUAGGCGGUUUGUCGCGUCGUCUGUGAAAUUCUGCAGCUUAACUGUAGGCGUGCAGGCGAUACGGGCAGACUUGAGUACUACAGGGGAGACUGGAAUUCCUGGUGUAGCGGUGAAAUGCGCAGAUAUCAGGAGGAACACCGGUGGCGAAGGCGGGUCUCUGGGUAGUAACUGACGCUGAGGAGCGAAAGCGUGGGUAGCGAACAGGAUUAGAUACCCCCGUAGUCCCUGUCUCUUAUAC
rnacentral:rRNA from 1 species